rnacentral:rRNA from 1 species
CCCUUAGACGUUCUGGGCCGCACGCGCGCUACACUGACAAAGGCAACGAGCUACUCUUCACCGAAAGGUGUGGGUAAUCUUUUGAAACUUUGUCGUGCUGGGGAUAGAUCCUUGCAAUUUUUGAUCUUAAACGAGGAAUUCCUAGUAAGCGCAAGUCAUCAACUUGCGUUGAUUACGUCCCUGCCCUUUGUACACACCGCCCGUCGCUACUACCGAUUGAAUGGUUUAGUGAGGCCUUCGGAUCCGCGACUCGUUUGUGGAGAAGUUGGACAAACUCAGUCAUUUAGAGAAAGUAAAAGUCGUAACA